UCUAAUAAAAUACAGACGGUUGAAAAUUCAAAAGAAGUUGAACGGCAGGCUGUCAAGUAUAUUCGGAGGUAAGUUGAUUAAAAACCGACCUCAUUUGAAUUUUCAACUGUCUGUAUUUUACCAGAGGUGCUUUAUGAUGUAUAUGUUGAGCUUUAUUUGUAUGUGCAUGGCGUAAUUAUAUAUAUAUUUUGUCUUGGUUGACGAGGGAUUCUCUCUUACUUUUAAAGCUGGCUACGCUAACUGGGAACGUAUAUUCGGAGGAAAGUUGAUGAAAACGCCAGUGCCAUAUAUUUAGAGAGUCACGACACUCCCAUAGGGAUUCAUUAUACGAUUUUACUUCCGGGUACUUCCGGGUUAUGGAGCCUUGGAUAGUUACAAACAUCGCAUUUGACAUGGCGGACACCAUUCAUUUGAACGGCAGGCUGUCAAGUAUAUUCGGAGAGGCCCUUUGUGACAUACACUUAUCUCUCAUGGCAUGAGGGAAGGUUGCAGUGCAAACUCAUAGCCUUUCUUUCCAGCUGCUCGACAUCCUUUAAGAGAGUGAAGACCUCAUCUGAUGGCCGGUGCUUCAACCAAUGCACACUGGCAUUGGUUGCAGAGUGUGAAGCUGAUGACCCUCUUCACUAUGCAUCCUGCCAGAUGUUGCCAUUUUGCCUGACAGCGUGGUCCCUGGCACAUCUGGGCCUAGUGUUGUGGCGCCACCGCUGGUUCCUGAUUGGUCGGCACCCGGCUCAUCCACCCCUGGAUCACCUGGCCUGGAUACAUCAUUGUCAUUGUGCUCACUUUCGCCCAACCUUCCCACCUCAAUUUCUCCCUGAAUGUCUGUAACAAUAACAAGGCAUUCUUAAUUUUAUAUGCAGUCAGUGUUUUUACAUUUGCACCUAUUGUCAUCUCCAAAGUAAGGGUACACUACACUCCUAAAGGGGAAAAAAAAAAUAACGGACAUUACUGUUACAUGAAUCAAAUCAUCUGCCACAAUCAGAAACUGCUAUGGCAUUGCCAUGAGUCAACAGUCUGGUGAUAUCAUGGAGUUGGUUGUGCUUUGCUGUUGUAUCCACCAGAAAUGUUUAGUUAUAGGUGAAAAUUAAAUGCAUAAAUAAAGCUAAAUUAUGAAGUAACUAACAAUGAAGUAGAUCGAAAUUUUAUGUGUAAAUCCCAGGACAAUUCCUGACCUCUUGUAUUUGAAGCUGAAUGUAUUAAUAUGAAAAAUUUAAUUAUCUUAUUAGGAGUGUAGUUUAUCCUUGAAUUACUUGGCAUGGGAAAUGUUGUUGACAGCUGGUCUGUAUCAUACCCAAGUUUAACCUGGUGCAAUAUGUAUGGUCCGUUUGAAUUUUGGUUGGAGGCACACUCCUAAAGGGAAGUUUCCUCCUCUUUGGCUUCGAACGAUGAAUGAAAAUGGUUGGGACGGCCUCAAUUUUAAUGUGUGCCCUACUUUGGUUGUCGUAAACUGGUCCUCCUCAAAGUGUUCCUGAUGUUUGGUUCGCAAGAUCAGUUUACAUUCUACUUAAAAUUUAAUUUUUUUUUUUUUAAAGUCAUAAUACCGUGACUUACAUGACAGAGUUUAUAGUUGUUGCUGGCCCCCUUCAAUUUCAGAUUUUUACGGCUGACCAUUGCCAGCCAUCUUUUCUGCCGGUCUUUGUCCUUCGGGAAACCAUACAUUCGGUAGCCCUUUUCGGACCGAUUGGUGCAUCCAAAAGCUGCACAACCAACCAUCACGAUCUCUAAAAUGUUAGGUGUGAGCACUGAAUCAUGACACCAAUUUUACCUAUUUAAUAAAAAAUAAAUAUUACUGUAAUAUUAAAUAUUUUCUUUAUCAAAGGGUAAUACGUUAUGUAAUAUAUUACCACAGGUAAGUGUAUCAAGAAAAUCUGGGCAUU